GACCCACCUCUGCAACGUGGACCUCUUUGGUCCUCCCCAAAUGCUCAAAUACAUUCCCACCUCUGGACCUUGGACCCUCGAGCUGUCCCCCGUGCUAGGGACAACCGUGCAACCCCUCCAUGGCUCACUCCACCCCUCUCCUCGGGCCUCUGCUGAGAUGCCCAGCCCUGAAGUCUAACCUGACCACCUCCCAAACAAUGCAGCCCAUCACCCUCUCCCCCUGCGGUGUCUCCUCAUAACACUUAUUAUGACCUAAGACCCUGCGGGUUAUCUCUCCAUUCGUUUCUCUGCCCACCUCCACCAUUACAGAAGCUCCAUCACGCAGGGAGGCUUUCGUUCACCACUAAAUGCUAAGUGAGGGGAGGCAGCUUACUAUCUCCAUUUCCAAGGUUGCUUCUAGUCCAGAAACCCCGGAGAUCAAUGAACAGAUACUUCCAAGAGCAGCCGAUGAAGGAUCGCCGAGGAGAUGGAUUACGUGGAAAUAUCUCUCGAGCCCAGAUUGAUAAACCAGCCCCCGGUGCACAGUUCCAGUGGGUGAAGAGAGCUGCCUUCAGAAUGUUUUCUUUAACUCUGGAUUUCUGCGGAGCCAGUCCUGGAACCGUGGACCACUGAACAUCGCCUGGAACCUCACUGAGUGACACACAUCACCUCUUGGAGCUUGAGGGUUCUUAUCUGUGAAAUUAGGACCCCGGGUUGGCAUGGUUCAGAGUAAUCAAAGAACUAACACAGGCUAAGGAGUUGAGGGAUGGAGUGCCUUCCUCAAAUUCUCAUCCAGGAACCAGGAUAAUAACCAAGUACAAAAGCCCCACAAGGAACAGACUCUGCACCCCAAACAGGGGCUGCAAGAGCUACUUUUCUAUGUUUGCUUAUUUUGGGGCGUGUGUGUGUGUGUGUGUGUGUGUGUGUGUGUGUGUGUGUUUAUCGAAAUAGAUCUUAGAAGUAUUAGCAGAUAUUACUUUUCUAAAAACAGAAUGAAAAGUCCAUAGUCAGAUACAUUUUAGAAACAAAAUGUAGCAGUCCCCUCUGUGAGUUACAUAAUAACUCUAAAGUUAUGACACAUUAUGAGCCCAUAAUAACGCUAAAGUUUUCCCAAUUUGCUUAAGCAUGGAAUGCUUUGCAUGGCAAAAUCACAUAUGCCUGUUCAUCUAUGCAGUAGGCUUUGAGAGAUGUGGGUUUGCUUAAAAAAAAAAGAAAGAAACCAAAAACAAAAAAGGAAAUAUAGACCUAUUUGGCCCUGAUGUGCUCGGAUGGCUCCUGUGAAAAGGCAGAUUUGGACAGAUUUUCUGAGAAUCAGGAAAGCGUAGUAGCAGAGCAAUGUUUCCUACCCACUGGACCAUGGCAGCUUCUCCUCCUUUUCCUAUAAAAGAAGUCAUUAUUCUGGGACCACAGUGCAUUUGGGGGAAAUGUCAGCAACAUCUAAACAUUCCUCAUUCCCUCAGACAGGUAAUUCCCCUACUUUCUGCAAUAAAUGGG
rnacentral:lncRNA from 1 species